GACGAACGCUGGCGGCGUGCCUAAUACAUGCAAGUUGAGCGCUGAAGGUUGGUACUUGUACCAACUGGAUGAGCAGCGAACGGGUGAGUAACGCGUGGGGAAUCUGCCUUUGAGCGGGGGACAACAUUUGGAAACGAAUGCUAAUACCGCAUAAAAACUUUAAACACAAGUUUUAAGUUUGAAAGAUGCAAUUGCAUCACUCAAAGAUGAUCCCGCGUUGUAUUAGCUAGUUGGUGAGGUAAAGGCUCACCAAGGCGAAGAUACAUAGCCGGCCUGAGAGGGUGAUCGGCCCCAUUGGGACUGAGACACGGCCCAAACUCCUACGGGAGGCAGCAGUAGGGAAUCUUCGGCAAUGGACGAAAGUCUGACCGAGCAACGCCGCGUGAGUGAAGAAGGUUUUCGGAUCGUAAAACUCUGUUGGUAGAGGAGAACGUUGGUGAGAGUGGAAAGCUCAUCAAGUGACGGUAACUACCCAGAAAGGGACGGCUAACUACGUG
rnacentral:rRNA from 1 species